rnacentral:rRNA from 1 species
UAACGCGAAAGACCUUACCAGGUCUUGACAUCUUCUGACAGUCUAAGAGAUUAGAGGUUCCCUUCGGGGACAGAAUGACAGGUGGUGCAUGGUUGUCGUCAGCUCGUGUCGUGAGAUGUUGGGUUAAGUCCCGCAACGAGCGCAACCCUUAUUACUAGUUGCCAGCAUUAAGUUGGGCACUCUAGUGAGACUGCCGGUGACAAACCGGAGGAAGGUGGGGACGACGUCAAAUCAUCAUGCCCCUUAUGACCUGGGCUACACACGUGCUACAAUGGAUGGUACAACGAGUCGCGAGACCGCGAGGUUAAGCUAAUCUCUUAAAACCAUUCUCAGUUCGGACUGUAGGCUGCAACUCGCCUACACGAAGUCGGAAUCGCUAGUAAUCGCGGAUCAGCAUGCCGCGGUGAAUACGUUCCCGGGUCUUGUACACACCGA